GGAGAAUAUGGAUUUGAUUGUGCAGAGGGGGUGCUAUACCGUAACUCGUAAGCCAUGCAAUCAGAUCAAGUCGACUCAAAACCUCCUCGUGGUAUUCUCUGGGUGCCAGUAUUUACUGGUAGCUGAUUUGAGCGGC
rnacentral:ribozyme from 1 species